ACCUCUCCCUGGAGGAUGGGUUAGAAAUGCUGGAAUAAUUCUUCAAGACCCUCACCUGCUCCGUACACAUACAUACGAACACACAUUUCUCCUCCCUCCACUCCCUCCCCCAGCUCAUACCUCUCUCCUCUCUCUCUCUCUGGCACAUACACUAGUGCUCUGCUGUGAGAAGAGAGUUCAUCUUGUCUCUGAAUUAUGUGCCUGUGAUGAAUUUCUAAGGAAAAGAUCAGCUUUGCCAGAGCCUAUGUUGUUUUGUCUAAAUCGGGGCAAAUAGCAUUACUUCUCCAAAUGUUACUAUUAUAAUGAGAUUUAUAUUUACCUAGAGAGGAUGCUCUUGAGAGAGAUACAGCUAGAAGUUUAUGCUACAGACAGAAUAAUCUUCCCUGCUGAAAUGUGAUUUGCUGCAGAGGGCUGUUUGGGGUUUGGAUAAAUGAGAAAGAUAAACACAAUGACUCCUGGUGGCUUUUGGUAACAUGAUUAUCGCUGGGGAAUAGAUCUCUCCUUCUUCCUUUUGGUGCCUCCCACUCCCUCAGAUUGUGAAUGAGCCCAAAACAAAAUUUUUCUAAGCAGGAGACCUAGCCGACCAGGCUAGGCCAUAGGCCCACGUCCCCAUCCCUGUGCGUGCACGUGUUUACGGUCACACAUACAUGCCUCAUACCCACGCACUCGUAUGUGUUACACAGGGUGUGUUGUUGUAGGUACAGUGCACAGCGCCAUUUGGUCUUCACCGUUAGCAGCUCAGUGGAAAGGGAAAUGAGACUUAUCCUCCACAAUCCUCUAUCCUUCACCACCCAGUAGAGCACAUUGUACCCUAGAGGAACUAAGAACAUGCUGUCAGGAAGCAGUUCGUCCCCCAAGAUACAGCUGUAAAAUUCGGGCAAAGCUUAAGUAAAUGUGGCUAUACACUCCCUAGGUAUUCAGAGUUUCACCAUUGUGGUUUCAGGCUAUGAAACAGAAAUUGUUUGUGGGUAUGUUUGGCUUUAUGUUACUGUUAUGUGUUUGGUAGCUUAAAGACCGAACUGAAAAAGGACUCAGAAGUUCAAGGUUCAGACUCUGUCCUCCAUUUGUUACCAGCUACGGAGCUUUUGCUUAUGUGCUAGACUGUUCUGGGUCUCUGAGGGGGAAAGCAGACAUAGCUUGUGACCCAAGGAGCACCGGCAGCCUGACCCCAAGGAGGCAGAAUAUCAGCUUACACAGGAAGGGGUACUAAGCAGGAGGCACACAGGAAAGUUGCUGGAAGGGCCGGGGAACAAGGGAAGGGAACAGCGGACCUUGUGUUUGAAUUAUCCCAUAGCGGCUAUGUUAGAUUGGGACAGCAAGUGUUGGAGGAGGGAACAUCACAGUUACUGCUGGGGAGAGAGGCAAGUGGGGGAUGUAUUUAGGGGAUCACAAAUGGGCCAUUCUAGAGCGCGGAAGACGUGUGAAUGUGGAAGAGCGGAAAAUAGUUGGUAAAUAAAAUAUAUGUUCUACGUUCCCUUUCCUCUCUGUCUUCAGCUUCUUCGUUCAGUCCAAUGCGGUCACUUCCCAGAGUGCUGAGCUGAAAGCAUUUUCUCGAGUCGCGAUCACCUUUACCAGGUACAUUAAGAUUCACCUCUCCAAGAUAAAACUCAAGACACCAGAAAACAAAGAGACCAUGAAUCUCAUGAACUGUGAACCAGUGGGCAACCAUAACUCUCUAUUGGGAAAGAAAAACAACAACUAACCUGUUGAACCAGAUAAGUCAAAUGCUUUGUUCCCUCUAAGUAAAUUGUGUGGCUUGUCUUAUUACUGUCUUGUUUGAUACACUUGAAGUCCUUUCCCCAAUUUAAAAUAUGACCUCUUUUGGUUUUUUUCUCAUUUCUUUUGGGAUCCUCCUAGGUGAUUCAAAAACUGCCUCUAAUAGAGAUAAUCAACAAUGAUUCUUAUACAAAACCUUAAAGCUAAUCACAUUUUUCUCCUAGUAUUAAAAACUACCUAAGAACUUGAGAAAUAGCCUAGACAAAGUUGCCCAGAGUUUUGCUGUCCUUCAAGAUCAAAUAGGUUCAUUAACAGAGCUGGCCAUCCAAUACUGUAGGGGCCUAGAUCACCUAAACACUAAAACAGAGGGGGUUAAGUAUGUCUCUAAAAGAAAACCUUAGUCCUUAUGUAAAUCAGUAUCAAGUGAGGAUAGAGCACAAAAACUGGAUGACCAUGCUUCUAAAGAUCCACAAAAAGUCAUGGAUGUCCUGGCCAAAUAGCUAAAACUGGAAGUUUUAGUUAUUAUCUUGGACAUGGCCUUUAUUAAUGCUUCUCACAACCUUACUGUUUAUAUCUUCUAUACUUAAUCUUCUAGUCAAAUUGGCUUUUUCUUCUUCGUUACCAGAUGUUAAACUACUAAUGAUGGCUCAAGCCUAGUAUCAAAACCUGCCCGCACAACUAUGGCUCGUUAGAAACCAUGAAAUCAGACAGGGUGAGGGUUCCUUAGUCUCCACAUAGGCAGACCCAGAGCACCCAUUUAGCAAGAAGUAUUCAUGGAACCCUUCCUCCUUCUGCAACCCUUGAAGAUUUUGGGAACCCAUCCUCUCAGAGGAGAAUAGUACAUGUAGCACAAUGGAGGCUAUGAGACCAAUUCCUUCCAUCCACUUGAAUUUGGACAAUACGCCUAGUGAUUCUUAAAGGGAAAAAGCCCCACGGCCGUUUUGAAAUAAACUUCUGGACUCUCUGAAGCAAUAUUUACAUCUUUAAAAUAUGGCAGCAAGUAGACUGCGGAACUCCUUCCUGUGACACGAAGACAAGGGGGCCUGGAGCACAGUUUCACAUCAGCUGUCUCCUUGAAAGAAACCAGUGGAAAUUCAUCCAAUGGCACCUGGAGUGCUCACAGAACGACUGGCGGCCAAAGUGUUUUUACUGCAGUUCUAGAUUCCUUGCUGAAACCCACCUCACCUCUGUUUACCCAGACAACGUCUAAGAAGAAAACAGCUUCUCAGGGUUCCAGGAGAUGGUAUCGUGUCAUGGUGAGGAAGAGGAGACCCUUGGUGUCAUGCACAUUCACAACAGCAGCUGAGAGAACUUCUUACCAUCUACCAUGCAUCCACCUCAUUGCCCUGCAAACCUAUCCUUCCUGAAUACUUUUCCAAAUUCCAGGCUCUGCCCUACCAGGGGCAUGGCUUGGGGUCUGACUGCCUGCAACUCACAACUCACACUACUUAUUUUCUGUUGUAACCUAUCAGCUCACUUUUUUACUUAAGCAAAUGGGCUUUAAAAUGAAGCCAUAUCCCUGCCAUAAAUGGAAAUGUACCAUCACUUUCCAUUCAUUGAGGGUAAAAAUAAAAUAAGAAACAAACAACGAUCUUCUAUCUAGCUGGACAAAGUUGCCCAUGCAGGCCUUAUGCCCCAGGCAUUGUUCUCUUCCUCUGACAUAAGAUUAACAAGUAGUGGUCAGUGCCAGAGUCUCUGACAUAUAUAGCUUCCAGGGGGAUUGGGAAACCGAGAAAAAGCAAAUGCGCUCACCACCACAUGAUCUGCUGAGAUGUCAUGAUCUUUGGGGGUUAAUAAUAUCAUUUCAUAAGCCCCCAGAGAGUUCACUCCUUGGAAAGCAACACUGAAGCACAUGCUAUGCCAUUAGCUGGUACUGAAAGGGAUGCCGGCAUCCCAAUUCUUCAGCCAAUGUGCCCUGCAAACAACGAUGGAACAGCACGCUGGUGCAAGCCACUGGCCUGUGGACCCCAGCUCUGGCAAUUAUGUACCAUCUACCAGAGAGAAUUCACUGUACUACUUCUGCUUCUCUUUUCUCAUCUGUAAAAGGCUGUGCCAGUAACAAUACCUUAUGUAGUUGCUACAAGGAAUAAGCACAUGACAAGACAUGUAGAGCAGAGCCCCAUGCCACAUAAAUGUGAACGGUGUGGGCACUCGGCCGUGCUAAGGUGUCCAAGGGUGAAACGUGACACGGAAGUUGUUGCCUGUGAAGUCCUGUGUGCCAGGCCCUUGCAAUCACUUUUACAUAUUUUUCCCCAUAAGCUUACCGUUUGCAUUACUUUUCAAAUAGUUCCCACUUUCUGCCUUCCAUGUCAUGGUAUGACUUUACUUCCAUAAGAAAUUAUGCAUAUCCGUGUGACUUUCUGUGGCUAAUGAAAGGUGAACAGAAAUAACCUGUGUCAUAGCCAGCAGAAACUUUCAAAACUAGUGUGUGAUUCACCACGUUCCAUUUUUGCUGCUUCAGUAAUCAAAGAAAUACAGAGAUCCUGAGUCAGUGUGACUUGGGCCGGAACUCCCAGCUGAUGCAAGAUGUAAGGGGGGCAGGCAGGAAGAUCAAACUUUGCUUUUUAAGCCACUGACUUCUAAACAAAAAUACUACAUCAAAACGUAUCAUAUCGUGCCUGAGACAAAUUUCUAGGUGCUGACACACACCUGAGCUCUUGCAGCAAUCAAGAACUCCCUGCUUCUUGGAGUCUAGAUGAGAGACUGAGCCAGGUCCUCAUUUCAGUUGCGAUGGGCAUGUAGUGCCAGAACCACUCUCGGUUCUCAGCAGUCUUGCUGCCCCUCCCCUGAUUAAUCUCCAGUAAAGAAAGUAAGGGGACUUGGGCUCUGGAUUCUUCUGAAGCUCCCACCUUCUUGCAGAAACUUGAGAAAUGAUUUUUCCUUUUGGUGUUUUUCAUCAGACUCACUGCAUCCCACAGAAGGAAGGAACUCCACAAAGCCAUUCAUUUGGGCCCCUGUUUACCUCCUCUCCUUAUCUGGACUUUGCCAGAAUAAUUCCAGAGGCAGGAAACUUAUUGACCUCACUUAUGAUCAUAGAUCUGGGGAGGACUCGAGUCAUCCUGUACCACUGCACGGUGUGCGCCUGACUUUCCUGAGGGUGAAGGGCUUGGAUGACGCUUACUUUGCAGGCUGGUUAUAUAACCCAUUAGUUAACAUAGCCAGGGCGCUUGAAAAAUAAAAGUGAGGGCUAGGAACAGUUGUACUGGAAUGAUAGGUAUAAAGCGAGACCAUCUUGGACAAAUCAGAACAUAUGGUCUCUUCGUGUCGAUGAGUCCAUGGCCACUAGCAAAUUGUAUACUUCAAAUUUCUUGGGCAGGAUUGUGCCCUGCCUGGUAAGUAACCCCGACUUCAGUCUGUGCACCCAUUCUCCUCCUAAACUGCUGAUGGUCAUUGUUGGAACCAUCUCCAUUCUCUAACAAAUACGCUUGUGAGAACUUCAGGCUCAGAGCCGUUUCAGAAAGCAUGUACCUAGGAACAAAUUUAGAAGCUUCAUAACCCCAACUGCUAUCUUGAUCAGAUACAUAUUUAAUGCCCCCUGAUGGAGCCACAGAUGCAGACUGCUUACCCCUUCCUGGCAUUUUACAAUGCUGCCAGGUCCCAGUAUGGUUGCUGUGAGGGCCAUAGGAUGCCUGCAGCUACUAUCUAUCUUUGUGCCCCCAUAAGACCUGACUCUCAGGAAACUUACCCACAAGGUAAUAGAAGGAAAGCAGGGUUUAUUAAGUUUCCUUCUGCAGCAUGUUUGAUUGUAUUUCUGCCUUGGGCACAGGCUCAUUUGCAUGGUGGAUUUAUAGCUUUAAUUUGAAUAUUAUAGUUGUUUUAUAUAAACCACCACCCUGGUCCCUCUUUAGAUUAUUCUGUUAACAAUUCACUGCCUACUACAUAGAAUCCUGUAAGACCAGGAGCCUCUAAUACGAGAUUAACAUUUCCAUGGGGACAGAAGAAUAUAGAAGUGGAGGAUGGAAAACGAGCCAACUGUUAAGUUUCUGAAACUCUUGAUCCCUCUCCAGGGUAGUCUGGUGAUCAUGUACAACUCAGGUACAUUCAGCUGCAAGAAUCUUUGAAAGUUGGAGUUUGUUUUUAUAUUACCGCUUCUCUAGGGGGGGACU